rnacentral:snRNA from 1 species
GGAUGUGAGAGCAAUCUGGCCACGACAUCUGUCACCCCAUUGUUUGCCAGGGUUGAUGUGCCUGAUCUAGCUGGCUAGGCGUCUAUCCCCUUCCUCCCUCACUGCUCCAAGUCCGUCACUCCCGAAGCUGACUUUGAUGGGUGAAAGAGGGCGGCCUUUCGCGAAUAAAGACUGACUGGUCUUUGGACCAGUCUUCAGCCGAAGGCAUACCAGUAUCUGCACUCUCCUGCUAGAACCUCCAAACAAGCUCUCAAAGUCCACUUGUAGGGCGGUCAAGCUUACAAGACUCCAGACAUAUCCAAAUGAGGCACUGCAUGUGGCAGUCUGCCUUUAAAA